rnacentral:lncRNA from 1 species
ACCUGGUUGAUCCUGCCAGUAGUCAUAUGCUUGUCUCAAAGAUUAAGCCUGUAAGACCCGUUCCUGGUCUCUUGACCCAACUGGAUAAGAAUGCUUACUUAUUAAUUUCUUUGCUCGUUUGAUCCAUUUUAAGUUUUUUAUUUGCUAAGUCUUAUUCGAAUAUGAGGUUCAUAAACAAAGGAACAGAUUGCACAGCGGAAUAACAAUGUAUAAACUUUGUAUUACUUAGAAACAUGAGAUUCAAUACACAACUUCUUAACAGUCUCAUAGACAAUCACUAGUUCAUCCCUAGUAUAAUCUAACCACACGUUACACAGCCUCUCACUGACCGAGCCUUCACGGCUUUUUGGCUUGACCAGAACCAUCCUUAGUUCCUGAAACCACAACCAGAUAAGCAUUAACCAUAACCGAGAAUAGAACGGAUUGAUUCUACAAUGCUUGGCUUGGUUCCUAGAACUUAGAUAAACCUCAGUCAACAUAAUCAUAAAACGUAUGAACCUACCUACCGUAUCCUAAGUCAUUCAACCAACCACCCCUUGACUUAGAAUCAGAAAGAUAGUCCAGAAUAGAUAAACAGAACACACAAACAGAUCCGGAUCGUCCCCAAAGACCAAUCCAUCUAACCGGAUAGAAUCUAGGUGCAACCGGCCAAUCGAGUCCGACUCGAUGGCCCAACGGACUCCCUUACCUGAUCCGGCCUUAGGCCUGGAUCCAAUCGGCCGAGUAAGCCUCAAGCCUAAUCCAGAAGGCUUAGCAACCGGUCAAACCUUGCGACUCCACCUUGGCUUAGACAAACCGUGACCUUGUCUUGACUAGACAAGCCAUAGGCUGAUCCAUAAGGAUCGGUCCUAACCUGUCCUGAAAGACACCGUUUGGAACAUGUACCCUUUGGCCAUUCGUGCCUCUUGGACACUCGUGACUCUUGACAACUCGUGCCCUUUGGGUCAUUCCCAACCGUUCGUCCUAACCGCCCAAUCUUGGUGCGAUCGGAUCAUCCCACUAACCGACCCGUGUCUAGGCUAGCGGUUUGAUUAUGUUUGGCCAAAGCCUAGGGACGUUUCCCUUGGACUCAACCAACACAACCUUUCGUGUUUAACCAGAGAUAAGAGAAGAGAAACGAAUUGAAACAGAUAAGGAGAGCCGGAUGGGACUUAGGAACCGAGCAGAGCCGCGGUGCGGUCGCAUGGACCGUCCUUUCGGUCUGAUGGAGCCACGGCCCAUCACAUAUCUUGUGAACCACGUCUGGGUUCUCCAUGCUCUUCUCCUUGUCUUGAUCUUCCAUUCUUGACCGGAGUUAGUUCUCAAACGAUCAGAGUCACCGGAACACAACACCACCACAAUCGGCCUUUCUCUUGGCCGGAACUCUCUCUUUCUCUCUUUCUUUCUCUCUACGGUUUUCUCUGAGUAUUUUACUCUGGAAUUGGAUAAUGAAAUUGACCAGAGAGCCCCAAUAUUUAUAGAAAACGAGGGGGUAAGUCUUGCCCCACGAACAGGCAUGACUUGCUAGCGAAUGGGCACCAUCGGCCAAGGGUUGUCCCCUUUCGGCCACAUGCAUCCCUUCGCCCUUUCUGAUUGGGUUUGGGGUCGGCCACAAGCCCAACCCACGCCCCAAGCCUCCUGGACUUUAGCCCACGGCCUUGUCCUAAGACCCAACAGCCCAUGGCCUCAUGGCCGGACCUCACAGCCCGCCACUGACCCGGACCCGGACCAUCAGCCUAAAGCCCGGACAGUCCGUCUAGCUGAGAUGAGCUGACUCUCAGCUGCCUCAGCUGAGUGAGCUAGUAGUCCAGCUAGUGGAGCUGACUUAGUAGGGACUGAGCUGGAGUGAACUGAACCUAGCUUCAUUGAGCUGGCCGAGCUACUCGUCCACUUCGUCCAGCUACCGUCUUACUCGUCCUAGCUGUCUCUUAGCUUUUAUAAGGUUAAGUCUAAGUUUCCUUAUGUCCUUAACCUUCUUUCUCGAUUAUGGAACGCUUGCCUUGAUGUCCUAAGACUGGCUUGCACGUUUCCUCGAACCAUGGCCGUCCCAACAAUCCUACUCAGGAUUGGGGGCGUGACAAGUCUCCCCCCCUUGGGAUGGAUUCUUCCUCGAAUCCGAAUCGAAUGCUUCCUCGGAAACAAACUGAUCCAACCAUUCUGGGUACUCUGCUUUCAUUCUAGCUUCGGUUUCCCAAGUGAUUAUAUCCUGACCAUUACAGUCCGAGACGACCUUGACCAUCUGGACCGUCUUCUUCCUUGUUGCUUUUUCCAUCCUAUAUAUGAUUCGAACUGGCCUCGUUUCCAAGGUUAGGUUCUUACCAAGAUCGUCUGGAAUGGCAGGAAGAGCGAUGUCUUGGUCCGUCAAACAUUUCCGAAGUUGGGAGACGUGGAGAAGGAUUCAAGAUUGAGGAAAUGCAUGGAGAUGUAUUAAGAUGGAGCGAGUUCAGAAUCAGAAAAUCUAGAAGAAGACUGAAGAAAUCAAGGGGAGAUAUCUAAGGCCAACCGAUAAAGAAGCACAUCUAGUGAUCAAGACAAAGUUAUGUAAUGAUGAGUUAUGGAGGAGUUGUUAUCAAGGUGGAGCAAGUUCAAAAUCCAAAGUGUUCAUGGAGACCCAAAGAAACCGAAAGAAAGGCGAGCCAGCAAAGAACCAUAUCUUAUGACCAAGACCGCAAGACGAAGUUAUUCAAAAUCUGAACAUCAUCACUACACAUCAAGGAGGAACAUUUCGUGAAGCUAAGCAAUUGCACAACUAAGAAUUCGAGGACGAAUUCUACUAAGGGGGGGGGGGAGAAUGUCAUAACCCGCCCUUUGGGAUAAAAUGGUCGAGAGAGCAAAAGUCAGAAUCCAGAGCCGAGCUUUUGGGAAUCAAAGCAAUUGAAGGAAUGUUAAGUUUUGAUCACUUAAGACUUAACAUGGAUCGAAGAAAAUAGAAGAUUGGUCGAGCAUCAACUUUGUGGUUGAGUCGCGGGCAAUAUAGAUCGAUCGGGAAAUUUGAAGUACGAGAAGGUCGAAGAAUGGAUUACGGCAGUUUUGGAAGAAUCACAUUUUUGAAGCCCGACGGUUUAAAAGCUCGACAUUUUUGAAGAUUGACGUUUCUUCAUCGCGAAGUUUUCUCGGAAUAUCUUCGUAUCAGUAAAAUAUUAUUCUGAAGACAUUAUAAGUCGGAAGCAGGACGGGAAUUAAGCAGGACGGGAAGCAAGCACGACAGGAUUGAAGCACGACGGGAAAACCCGAAGUUGGGCGAAAACCCUAAUUUCGGUAUUACGAAAUUCUUUGAGGAAGCCGGAGGCUCAGGAAAUAUUUUUAAAGGAUAUCAGACAUCAUCUGUAGUUUAUUAAAAAUAUUCAGAGAAUCAGAAUGGGAGCGGAAAAAUAUUUGGGAUUGAUCGCGGGACGAAAAUUCACCGGAAUGGUCGAAAUCGCGCAAAGAAACCGAGAAGCUCGAGGUGGCUUGAUCAGAAGGGAUAAGAACGUGGUGGCAACUGUCUAACCAGCUGAGUGUCAAGAGAAGCUCGAGGUGUCGCCGUGUAUGGAAGCUGCACAUGCAGCUUGACAUGUAGAAGCACGAGGUGGAUCGGCCAAGCACGAGAUGUCGCGACGCAUGCAACCGAAGCAUGUUGAUCGACAUGUGUGAGGAUGUGUGGCGCCUUGCAGGAGCUCCAGUCAUGCAGCCUGACAUCUGGGAGGAGUGGUGGCGUUCUGCAUGUGUCUCGGACAUGCAGUCAGCCAUGUGGAGCACGAGGUGGAUUGGCCAAGCACGAGAUGUCGCGACGCAUGCAACCGAAGCAUGCUUAUCGACAUGUGUGAGGAUGUGUGGCGCCUUGCAUGAGCUCCAGUCAUGCAGCCUGACAUCUGGGAGGAGUGGUGGCGUCCUGCAUGUGUCCUGGACAUGCAGCCAGCCAUGUGGAGCACGAGGUGUCGCCGUGCAUGCGUUCAGAGCCAUGCGGAGCGACACACGGGCUGCCACCAACCUGAAGCUGAUUGGCUGGUGUCUCCUAUAAAUACCCCACGACCCCAGCUCAUUUCUUCACAUCCAGACCUGUCCAAACCAAGUUAAAACCUUGAGAGAAAAGUAGAAAAAGAAAGCAAGUGAUUCCGAGCUAUUUCGAGAGUUUUAGAGAGUUUUCGAGAUCAGUUCUCUAUUGAUUUCGAGUCAUCGCCUUGAGAAGGUUCUGUCCAACUGAAGGUCAAUCAAGUGAAGAUCAGAUCAGAUGGGAAUCAAGUCAACGUGGCCAGAGAGAGAGAGAGAGAGAGAGAGAGAGAGAGAGAGAGAGAGAGAGAGAGAGAGAGAGAGAGAAGCAAAGUGGUCGACCUAGAGUGUAGUCGAUUCUCACCGAGAAGGCCAGUUCCGUCCAAUCGAUGAUUCUAUACGAUUGUGAGGCGGAAGCUCUGUCCAUAUCUAUCCGUCCAGGCCAGACAUAUUCUGUGAUGGUCAAGUGGAGGUUCUGUCCAGAGUUAGUUCACUUCCAUGGGUUCAGAUCAGUCGAAGUUCUGCUCGAUACUCCGCCAGAAAGUCCGAAGAACUGUCCAGAAGCUAGAGGAGGUUCUGUCCAAGUCCAGAUCAGACUAUCGAGGGCUGUCAGCUUCUUUGUGGUGAAGCCGAGAUUGUGUCCAAGACAAGAUCAGUUCAGUCCAGUCCAUUCAAGACGUCUAUUGGGUUUUGGCCAAGUCCUCUCCGAUCAACCAGCUGCUUUUCGCCUAGAACACUGUGAGUUGGUUUGUUUGAAUUCCACUUGGAAUUUAGGGUAGAUCGAGUCGCAUAUAGAGUAGAAUGAUCACGUUAUUGAAUGGUAGAGUCCUUAGGGUUAUUUUAUUUAUUGAACUGGACUCAGUUUAGCAAGGGCUAAGCUGAGAUGAAAUGAAUUAAGACUGAGUUGAUAACCUGAUUAGGACUAAGAAUAGGAUGCAUCAUGUUUUCUAUUCUUGCGUGUUGAUAUGGUUGAGUGCAGGUUCCCGUUAUCUUUAAAGAUAGUUUCACAGCGGGAGGCUGGACUAUCUGGGUAACGGUUUGAUUGAGUUGUUUGGUAUUGAUAUUGUUGUUUAGUUGUUUAGUAGUUGGGCCAUAUAGGCCGGACUACUGGUACUAUGGUUAGUCUUGUGGAGUUGAGUGUCUAGUUAGGAUCUGGAACUUUGGCUUUAGGUUAGGUUCUAGAUUGAGUUUGUUUUGUUGUGAGUGUGCCGACAGUAUGUGCGAAACCCGCCCAUACUAGGCUUGUGUAGGGGUGAUUAGUGUUUCCUUGGCCUCGUACCCAGCGGGUUCAAGGAAACCCCUUAUUCGCUGGAUCGGGAAGACUCAGACGAACGGUGUCAUGUACUAUGGCUGAGUAUUACACGAUGGUGUAAUGUUGCAGUGACCCGAAGGACUGUGGGCUGUCGCGCGGUGACCCGAAUGAAUGUGGGCCGCGGUCGGUUGAAAGUUCCUUCUUCUGGCCUUUGUGGUAGGGAGAUAGGAUAUUCCCUAUAGAGAGGAGGAACACGAUGUCACCAGGGCCCAGGUUAGAGUGUUGUGUUAGAGUGUCGUAGAGGGUUAUGGAACCGUCGAGUUAGUGUAGCACCGAUAUAUGGUGUUACAAGUUAGAUCGAGUCGUAGUUACUCAUAGUCUUAUUAUUGUGAUUGUGUUUGUGGUUGAUUGAUUUGCUUGCAGGUUCUGGCGUUAAGUCUAAGUCUGGUUUAGGUACCGGAUUAGGCUUGAUGUGUAUUUCGUUAGUGUAGGCCUGACGUUGGCCUGUAUGUGUUUGAGUGGUUGCUUGUGAAGGGUGGUGGAUAUUAAAGCUAUGCGGUAUCAUUGGUUGGCCGAUCAUGUUCUUGUUUGAUUGUUGGUCGAUCAAUUAAUGAUACUUGUAUAGUCUAAGUGUCUAACACUACAUGAGUACUGAACUCAGGCGUAUAUAUGGUUAACUAGGGAUUGUUUGUUGACUUGUUUAAUGCAGGUUCCCGUUACUUGAAGCUAGAUCAUGGCAGGAGGCCAAGUCUAACUUAGUAACGGUUUGCUUAGCCUUAGCUUUUAUUGCAUGCUAGGGCUAGAUUGAUUGUUAUUUUGGGUUGUAUGGGUAGAGUCUAGGUUGCGGGCAGGGGCCGCCAGCUCACUGAGUAAUACUAGAUUACUCAUCCAACUCCGUUGUCCUUUUUGCAGGUCGCUUUAGGUAAGGAUGAUCGGAUAGCUUCGUGCUGGACGUUAGGACCGCCGGUGUAGAUUUUCAUGCCUUUUGUAAACGGUAUUGUGAAUUGUGUUAUGUUGACUCGAUUUGGCAUUAGGCCGGGCCCAGUCUUGGAUUAUUCUAUGUAUGAAUAUUUCCUAAAUUAAUAAAAGUAAUUGUUUUAUAUGCGCUUCAUGAGUACUCUGAUAUUUGACUAGUCCGGUCUAACACAACGUUAGGUCGAGGUACGGUUUGAAAAGCCUUAGGCCUUUAUCUAACGGAAAACCCUAACUCUAGGUACGGGUUGCAAAGCCUUAUGCCUUGACGCAGCGGGACGAAUUAGUGGAUGAACUGGUCUAGGUCGUGGAGUAAAGUUUGUGACUCUGACCGGAUUGUCCCUAGCCCGUCACGUAGCGUUUCCGGACCAUGGUGUUGGGUUGGACGGUCAGUCAUGUUCUUGUUUGAUUGUUGGCUGGCCGGUUGGCCUUUCAUCUCCAACCCUUGGUGUGGGUCGUCCGUCGGUCAUGUUCUUGUUUGAAUGUUGGCCGGUGGGUCGACCUAUGCUUAGGACGGUUCGGGGGUGUUACAUAGGUGGUAUCAGAGCAUGGUUUCGUCCAUGCUUCUGGAACUCAUGAUUUAAUCGGUUUUAAAUAUUCAUCGAGUCAAAAAGAGUCACAAAAGGCAUUAGGGAAACCGGUCACGUCCAGCGAUAGGAUUUGUGGUUUUAGGAAUUAGGAUUGAGAUAGUGGAAUCUAGAAUUGCUAGGUUGAUUGGGUAGCACUGUUAGGUUGCUGGUUAGAAUUGCGGUUAGGUUGCAUUGUUAGUAUUUGCUGGGUUAGUAGAUUAUGUGAUUAAUUGUCUACUAACUUGCAUGUGAGGUGUUCUUUUGAGUUGCAGCGAGUAAGUGCGUUUGUUGAUCGGUACUUUAAGGGAUGAAAACCUUAAAGUGGAGGGAGUUCGAGGCCAAACCCAAACCCGAAGUGAAAGAGGAGAGACAGAUUCAGAGAACUGGCUGUGGUAUGGACUGGACAGAUGGGAAGAAACAAGACUUCGUUGGGAAAUGACUUCAUCAGUAUCUGGGAAAUGAGAGAUCGAGGUAAUGGUUGGAGUAAUCAGAGGCGCAGAUUGGCAAGAUCGUAUCAUGGGAAAUUAGUUGGGCAGCAAAGUAAAAACUAAGAAGAAGACGCAGUGAUCAUUCAAGUGAAGAUUUAUGAAGAUGAUUGUGGUGACAUUGGGAAGGACACUCAAGGGACAGUGAAAGGCAGAGUGAAGAGAUAUGAAGACGAUUAUGGCGACUUUAGACAGUAUACACAAAGGGACAUGGGCAAGAAAAGUAAAGAGUUAUGAAGACAAGUUGAGAUUAAGUGAAGCAUGAGAAAUCAAGAUGUGAAGAAAUGAAAGGAUUCAAGACCGAGGAAAUGCAUGGAGAUGUAUUAAGAUGGAGCGAGUUCAGAAUCAGAAAAUCUAGAAGAAGACUGAAGAAAUCAAGGGGAGAUAUCUAAGGCCAACCGAUAAAGAAGCACAUCUAGUGAUCAAGACAAAGUUAUGUAAUGAUGAGUUAUGGAGGAGUUGUUAUCAAGGUGGAGCAAGUUCAAAAUCCAAAGUGUUCAUGGAGACCCAAAGAAACCGAAAGAAAGGCGAGCCAGCAAAGAACCAUAUCUUAUGACCAAGACCGCAAGACGAAGUUAUUCAAAAUCUGAACAUCAUCACUACACAUCAAGGAGGAACAUUUUGUGAAGCUAAGCAAUUGCACAACUAAGAAUUCGAGGACGAAUUCUACUAAGGGGGGGGGGAGAAUGUCAUAACCCGCCCUUUGGGAUAAAAUGGUCGAGAGAGCAAAAGUCAGAAUCCAGAGCCGAGCUUUUGGGAAUCAAAGCAAUUGAACGAAUGUUAGUUUUGAUCACUUAAGACUUAACAUGGAUCGAAGAAAAUAGAAGAUUGGUCGAGCAUCAACUUUGUGGUUGAGUCACGGGCAAUACAGAUCGAUCGGGAAAUUUGAAGUACGAGAAGGUCGAAGAAUGGAUUACGGUAGUUUUGGAAGAAUCACAUUUUUGAAGCCCGACGGUUUAAAAGCUCGACAUUUUUGAAGAUUGACGUUUCUUCAUCGCGAAGUUUUCUUGGAAUAUCUUCGUAUCAGUAAAAUAUUAUUCUGAAGACAUUAUAAGUCGGAAGCAGGACGGGAAUUAAGCAGGAAGGGAAGCAAGCACGACGGGAAGCAAGCACGACGGGAUUGAAGCACGACGGGAAAACCCGAAGUUGGGCGAAAACCCUAAUUUCGGUAUUACGAAAUUCUUUGAGGAAGCCGGAGGCUCGGGAAAUAUUUUUAAAGGAUAUCAGACAUCAUCUGUAGUUUAUUAAAAAUAUUCAGAGAAUCAGAAUGGGAGCGGAAAAAUAUUUGGGAUUGAUCGCGGGACGAAAAUUCACCGGAAUGGUCGAAAUCGCGCAAAGAAACAGAGAAGCUCGAGGUGGCUUGAUCAGAAUGGAUAAGAACGUGGUGGCAACUGUCUAACCAGCUGAGUGUCAAGAGAAGCUCGAGGUGUCGCCGUGUAUGGAAGCUGCACAUGCAGCUUGACAUGUAGAAGCACGAGGUGGAUCGGCCAAGCACGAGAUGUCGCGACGCAUGCAACCGAAGCAUGUUGAUCGACAUGUGUGAGGAUGUGUGGCGCCUUGCAGGAGCUCCAGUCAUGCAGCCUGACAUCUGGGAGGAGUGGUGGCGUUCUGCAUGUGUCUCGGACAUGCAGCCAGCCAUGUGGAGCACGAGGUGGAUUGGCCAAGCACGAGAUGUCGCGACGCAUGCAACCGAAGCAUGCUUAUCGACAUGUGUGAGGAUGUGUGGCGCCUUGCAUGAGCUCCAGUCAUGCAGCCUGACAUCUGGGAGGAGUGGUGGCGUCCUGCAUGUGUCCUGGACAUGCAGCCAGCCAUGUGGAGCACGAGGUGUCGCCGUGCAUGCGUUCAGAGCCAUGCGGAGCGACACACGGGCUGCCACCAACCUGAAGCUGAUUGGCUGGUGUCUCCUAUAAAUACCCCACGACCCCAGCUCAUUUCUUCACAUCCAGACCUGUCCAAACCAAGUUAAAACCUUGAGAGAAAAGUAGAAAAAGAAAGCAAGUGAUUCCGAGCUAUUUCGAGAGUUUUAGAGAGUUUUCGAGAUCAGUUCUCUAUUGAUUUCGAGUCAUCGCCUUGAGAAGGUUCUGUCCAACUGAAGGUCAAUCAAGUGAAGAUCAGAUCAGAUGGGAAUCAAGUCAACGUGGCCAGAGAGAGAGAGAGAGAGAGAGAGAGAGAGAGAGAGAGAGAGAGAGAGAGAGAAGCAAAGUGGUCGACCUAGAGUGUAGUCGAUUCUCACCGAGAAGGCCAGUUCCGUCCAAUCGAUGAUUCUAUACGAUUGUGAGGCGGAAGCUCUGUCCAUAUCUAUCCGUCCAGGCCAGACAUAUUCUGUGAUGGUCAAGUGGAUGUUCUGUCCAGAGUUAGUUCACUUCCAUGGGUUCAGAUCAGUCGAAGUUCUGCUCGAUACUCCGCCAGAAAGUCCGAAGAACUGUCCAGAAGCUAGAGGAGGUUCUGUCCAAGUCCAGAUCAGACUAUCGAGGCCUGUCAGCUUCUUUGUGGUGAAGCCGAGAUUGUUUCCAAGACAAGAUCAGUUCAGUUCAGUCCAGUCCAUUCAAGGCGUCUAUUGGGUUUUGGCCAAGUCCUCUCCGAUCAACCAGCUGCUUUUCGCCUAGAACACUGUGAGUUGGUUUGUUUGAAUUCCACUUGGAAUUUAGGGUAGAUCGAGUCGCAUAUAGAGUAGAAUGAUCACGUUAUUGAAUGGUAGAGUCCUUAGGGUUAUUUUAUUUAUUGAACUGGACUCAGUUUAGCAAGGGAUAAGCUGAGAUGAAAGGAAUUAAGACUGAAUUGAUAACCUGAUUAGGACUAAGAAUAGGAUGCAUCAUGUUUUCUAUUCUUGCGUGUUGAUAUGGUUGAGUGCAGGUUCCCGUUAUCUUUAAAGAUAGUUUCUCAGCGGGAGGCUGGACUAUCUGGGUAACGGUUUGAUUGAGUUGUUUGGUAUUGAUAUUGUUGUUUAAUUGUUUAGUAGUUAGGCCAUAUAGGCCGGACUACUGGUACUAUGGUUAGUCUUGUGGAGUUGAGUGUCUAGUUAGGAUCUGGAACUUUGGCUUUAGGUUAGGUUCUAGAUUGAGUUUGUUUUGUUGUGAGUGUGCCGCCAGUAUGUGCGAAACCCGCCCAUACUAGGCUUGUGUAGGGGUGAUUAGUGUUUCCUCGGCCUCGUACCCAGCGGGUUCAAGGAAACCCCUUAUUCGCUGGAUCGGGAAGACUCAGACGAACGGUGUCAUGUACUAUGGCUGAGUAUUACACGACGUUGUAAUGUGGCAGUGACCCGAAGGACUGUGGGCUGUCGCGCGGUGACCCGAAUGACUGUGGGCCGCGGUUGGUUGAAAGUUCCUUCUUCUGGCCUUUGUGGUAGGUAGAUAGGAUAUUGCCGAUAGAGAGGAGGAACACGAUGUCACCAGGGCCCAGGUUAGAGUGUUGUGUUAGAGUGUCGUAGAGGGUUAUGGAACCCUCGAGUUAGUGUAGCACCGAUAUACGGUGUUACAAGUUAGAUCGAGUCGUAGUUACUCAUAGUCUUAUUAUUGUGAUUGUGUUUGUGGUUGAUUGAUUUGCUUGCAGGUUUUGGCAUUGAGUCUAAGUCUGGUUUAGGUACCGGAUUAGGCUUGAUGUGUAUUUCGUUAGUGUAGGCCUGACGUUGGCCUGUAUGUGUUUGAGUGAUUGCUUGUGAAGGGUGGUGGAUAUUAAAGCUAUGCGGUAUCAUUGGUUGGCCGAUCAUGUUCUUGUUUGAUUGUUGGUCGAUCAAUUAAUGAUACUUGUAUAGUCUAAGUGUCUAACACUACAUGAGUACUGAACUCAGGCGUAUAUAUGGUUAACUAGGGAUUGUUUGUUGACUUGUUUUAAUGCAGGUUCCCGUUACUUGAAGCUAGAUCAUGGCAAGAGGCCAUGUCUAACUUAGUAACGGUUUGCUUAGCCUUAGCUUUUAUUGCAUGCUAGGGCUAGAUUGAUUGUUAUUUUGGGUUGUCUGGGUAGAGUCUAGGUUGCGGGUAGGGGCCGCCAGCUCACUGAGUAAUACUAGAUUUCUCAUCCAACUCCGUUGUCCUUUUUGCAGGUCGCUUUAGGUAAGGAUGAUCGGAUCGCUUCGUGCUGGACGUUAGGACCGCCGGUGUAGAUUUUCAUGCCUUUUGUAAACGGUAUUGUGAAUUGUGUUAUGUUGACUCGAUUUGGCAUUAGGCCGGGCCCAGUCUUGGAUUAUUCUAUGUAUGAAUAUUUCCUAAAUUAAUAAAAGUAAUUGUUUUAUAUGCGCUUCAUGAGAACUCUGAUAUUUGACUAGUCCGUUCUAACACAACGUUAGGUCGAGGUACGGGUUGAAAAGCCUUAGGCCUUUAUCUAACGGAAAACGCUAACUCUAGGUACGGGUUGCAAAGCCUUAUGCCUUGACGCAGAGGGACGAAUUAGAGGAUGAACUGGUCUAGGUCGUGGAGUAAAGUUUGUGACUCUGACCGGAUUGUCCCUAGCCCGUCACGUAGCGCUUUCGGACCAUGGUGUUGGGUUGGACGGUCAGUCAUGUUCUUGUUUGAUUGUUGGCUGGCCGGUUGGCCUUUCAUCUCCAACCCUUGGUGUGGGUCGUCCGUCGGUCAUGUUCUUGUUUGAUUGUUGGCCGGUGGGUCGACCUAUGCUUAGGACGGUUCGGGGGUGUUACAGUCUCAUCCUCAAGUUCCCUUCCAACAAAAUGUCGGAGCCGGUUGAACACCUCUUCGUACUCACGUAUGGCCCUGCGGCCUUGGGUAAGGUCUAGGAAUCUACCUUCCAGACGGUCCCAAACCUCUGCAGGAAAGUAUUUGCGGUUGAAUUCAUCUUCAAAAUCCGCAAAACUCUAGAGACUUCCAUUGGUGCGCUUGUUCACAGCCAGCCACCAAUUAUGCGCGCGCCCUUCCAGGAAGUGAACCGCAAUGUCUCUCUUGUAAUCCCCAGGACAACGAGUUGAGCUGAAGUUUCGGACUAGCCUACUCCUCCACUCGUCUGCCUCAAUAGGAUCGGUGCUUCCUGAGAAAUGCUUCGUCCCUAGAUGGGAGAUGUGCUGAAGCAAACUCAGAUAGUCCACCUUUUUCCCGGUCCUUUCUGGUGGAUCAAUCUCGAUCACCUCGACCGUUUCCACAACUGGACCAUUGGUGUUGGGGACGGUCGUAGCCACAGGCGUAGCUUGGCCAACUGAGGAGUUCACUAAUGGCGUGAACAGUUGGGCCAUAGCCGCCACUUGAGUCCCCAUUACCUUCAUGGCCUCUAACAAGUCCUCUUUGGACAGUGUUGCGGUUACAUUGGCCGCACCAUCGGCCACUUUCUCACGCUGGCCACCAUCACGGUUAGCGUUCGAGGAUUCCACUUCCUCAUCACUCUCCUGAUGUUCCUGACCAUCCUGUUGCGUCCCCGUAAGCCUGAUCAGUUGGCAACACAUUUUCAGCGUUAGCCGCGGCCGGAUCGGUUUGCAAACCGGACAGAUUAGUUCCGUCCACGGCCACUUGACUAGACUGACCGGCCAUUCUCUUACUUCUUCGGGACUUUCCCGAUUUGCUUUUUCCAGCCUAAGGAUUCAGACAAUGUUAGUACAAAACACACUAACAUAAACAGAACAAAACAAUCCCUAGACUAAGCAAUCAAACCUCACCGUGAGACCUAAUCAGCUGGCUGGUGGACUACAUAACCCAACUAUCCUAGAAUCAAGCAUGCUCUGAUACCAACUUGUAAGACCCGUUCCUGGUCUCUUGACCCAACUGGAUACGAAUGCUUACUUAUUAAUUUCUUUGCUCGUUUGAUCCAUUUUAAGUCUUUUAUUUGCUAAGUCAUAUUCGAAUAUGAGGUUCAAAAACAAAGGAACAGAUUGCACAGCGGAAUAACAAUGUAUAAACUUUGUAUUACUUAGAAACAUGAGAUUCAAUACACAACUUCUUAACAGUCUCAUAGACAAUCACUAGUUCAUCCCUAGCAUCAUCUAACCACAUGUUACACAGCCUCUCACUUACCGAGCCUUCACGGCUCCUUGGCUUGACCAGAACCAUCCUUAGUUCCUGAAACCACAACCAGAUAAGCAUUAAUCAUAACCGAGAAUAGAACGGAUUGAUUCUACAAUGCUUGGCUUGGUUCCUAGAACUUAGAUAAACCUCAGUCAACAUAAUCAUAAAACGUAUGAACCUACCUACCGUAUCCUAAGUCAUUCAACCAACCACCCCUUGACUUAGAAUCAGAUAGAUAGUCCAGAAUAGAUAAACAGAACACACGAACAGAUCCGGAUCGUCCCCAAAGACCAAUCCGUCUAACCGGAUUGAAUCUAGGUGCGACCGGCCAAUGGAGUCCGGCUCGAUGGCCCAACGGACUCCCUUACCUGAUCCGGCCUUAGGCCUGGAUUCAAUCGGCCGAGUAAGCCUCAAUCCUAAUCCGGAAGGCUUAGCAACCGGUCAGACCUUGCGACUCCACCUUGGCUUAGACAAACCGUGACCUUGUCUUGACUAGACAAGCCAUAGGCUGAUCCAUAAGGAUCGGUCCUAACCUGUCCCGAAAGACACCGUUUGGAACAUGUACCCUUUGGCCAUUCGUGCCUCUUGGACACUCGUGACUCUUGACAACUCGUGCCCUUUGGGUCAUUCCCAACCGUUCGUCCUAACCGCCCAGUCUUGGUGCGAUCGGAUCAUCCCACUAACCGACCCGUGUCUAGGCUAGCGGUUUGAUUAUGUUCGGCCAAAGCCUAGGGACGUGUCCCUUGGACUCAACCAACACAACCUUUCGUGUUUAACCAGAGAGAAGAGAAGAGAAACGAAUUGAAACAGAUAAGGAGAGCCGGAUGGGACUUAGGAACCGAGCAGAGCCGCGAUCGGUCGCAUGGACCGUCCAUUCGGUCUGAUGGAGCCACGGCCCAUCACAUACCUUGUGAACCACGUCUGGGUUCUCCAUGCUCUUCUCCUUGUCUUGAUCUUCGAUUCUUGACCGGAGUUAGUUCUCAAACGAUCAGAGUCGCCGGAACACAACACCACCACAAUCGGCCUUUCUCUUGGCCAGAACUCUCUCUUUCUCUCUUUCUUUCUCUCUACGGUUUUCUCUGAGUAUUUUACUCUGGAAUUGGAUAAUGAAAUCGACCAGAGAGCCCCCAUAUUUAUAGAAAACGAGGGGGUAAGUCUUGCCCCACGAACAGGCAUGACUUGCUAGCGAAUGGGCACCAUCGGCCAAGGGUUGUCCCCUUUCGGCCACUUGCAUCCCUUCGCCCUUUCUGAUUGGUUUUGGGGUCGGCCACAAGCCCAACCCACGCCCCAAGCCUCCUGGACUUUAGCCCACGGCCUUGUCCUAAGACCCAACAGCCCAUGGCCUCAUGGCCGGACCUCAAAGCCCGCCACUGACCCAGACCCGGACCAUCGGCCUAAAGCCCGGACAGUCCGUCUAGCUGAGAUGAGCUGACUCUCAGCUGCCUCAGCUGAGUGAGCUAGUAGUCCAGCUAGUGGAGCUGACUUAGUAGGGACUGAGCUGGAGUGAACUGAACCUAGCUUCAUUGAGCUGGCCGAGCUACUCGUCCACUUCGUCCAGCUACCGUCUUACUCGUCCUAGCUGUCUCUUAGCUUGUAUAAGGUUAAGUCUAAGUUUCCUUAUGUCCUUAACAUUCUUUCUCGACCAUGGAACGCUUGCCUUGAUGUCCUAAGACUGGCUUGCACGUUUCCUCGAACCAUGGCCGUCCCAACAAUCCCACUCAGGAUUGGGGGCGUGACAAAGCCAUGCAUGUGUAAGUAUGAACGAAUUCAGACUGUGAAACUGCGAAUAGCUCAUUAAAUCAGUUAUAGUUUGUUUGAUGGUAACUACUACUCGGAUAACCGUAGUAAUUCUAGAGCUAAUACGUGCAACAAACCCCGACUUCUGGAAGGGAUGCAUUUAUUAGAUAAAAGAUCAACGCGGGCUCUGCCCGUUGCUCUAAUGAUUCAUGAUAACUCGACGAAUCGGAUGGCCUUAGUGCUGGCGACGCAUCAUUGAAAUUUCUGCCCUAUCAA